rnacentral:rRNA from 1 species
UACGUAGGGGGCAAGCGUUGUCCGGAAUCAUUGGGCGUAAAGAGCGCGUAGGCGGUCCGGUAAGUCCGCUCUGAAAGUCCGGGGCUCAACCCCGGGAGGCGGGCGGAUACUGUCGGGCUAGAGUCCGGAAGGGGCGAGUGGAAUUCCUGGUGUAGCGGUGAAAUGCGCAGAUAUCAGGAGGAACACCGGUGGCGAAGGCGGGUCUCUGGGCCGAUACUGACGCUGAGGAGCGAAAGCGUGGGGAGCGAACAGG